AUGCACGCUGGCGGCGUGCCUCAUACAUGCAAGUCGCGCGAACAGACGAGGAGCUUGCUCCUCUGACGUUAGCGGCGGACGGGUGAGUAACACGUGGAUAACCUACCUAUAAGACUGGGAUAACUUCGGGAAACCGGAGCUAAUACCGGAUAAUAUAUUGAACCGCAUGGUUCAAUAGUGAAAGACGGUUUUGCUGUCACUUAUAGAUGGAUCCGCGCCGCAUUAGCUAGUUGGUAAGGUAACGGCUUACCAAGGCAACGAUGCGUAGCCGACCUGAGAGGGUGAUCGGCCACACUGGAACUGAGACACGGUCCAGACUCCUACGGGAGGCAGCAGUAGGGAAUCUUCCGCAAUGGGCGAAAGCUUGACGGAGCAACGCCGCGUGAGUGAUGAAGGUCUUCGGAUCGUAAAACUCUGUUAUUAGGGAAGAACAAAUGUGUAAGUAACUAUGCACGUCUUGACGGUACCUAAUCAGAAAGCCACGGCUAACUACGUG
rnacentral:rRNA from 1 species